AAAAAGAAUUGAAGAGUUUAUUUGUCAGUAGUUCAAGUGAAGAAUACGGACUUCAAAGCAAGUUAUAUUGUGUACGGUUCUGUAAGUUGGUGGAGGUGUAUUCAGGACGUUGGCAGGUACCCUUGCCACAGCUGCAGGUGCUCCAGACUGCUCUAUGUUCCUUUGUCCAAGCCUCGGCCUGCUUCCCGUCUGACUGUGAACAUGUAUGCUACACACUGAGUAGCCUUGCCCUGAGUGCUUUUGAGCUCUUGCUGUUUUUGAACAGAAAUAAGAUCCUGCAGGAUCCCUUGAAAAAAAUCCUUGAUUCGUUCCAGGAAUGUUUUUCCCAGCUGGAGAGACACCAGAACAUCCACCUGCUGCAGGUGGGACAGAUCAUCAGAGAGAAGGGACCGUGGACCAACCCCAUACUACAGGCCAUCCUGAAGGACUCACAACUGCCCCGGGAUGAAGUGGACCGCUACCUAGGCUCAGAGGUGCCAGUG